AUGGAUGUCCUGAGAGCACAGCCACUACUUAACCUUGCAGGGAAAAGGGAGCUGGUCAAGAGGCAGCAUGGGUAUAAUCCCCAAGCAAAGGCUUAUUUUGUCCCUGCCAAAGAAACAAAGCUGCUCCCUGUUGAGCUGAAGUUUACUCUCAGCAGCUUCCCUGUUUGCAGGAAUGUACUUUGUGCCUACAGAUGCCUUCUGAAGACGCUGGUGAUGUUGGGCACUUGGUGGGUUUGCCUUUGGGAGGCCUGCUUUCCUCGCGCUCAGCUGCUGAGGCGGGGCAUGUAUUAAGCUGAGGAAAUGCAAUAGAGCACACCGCCCGGUGCUGGUGCGUGCUGCCUUUCUGCCUUCCAAGCCCUGGAUUGCCAUGGCUCCUCCCGAGCCCCGCUGCGGGAUCCUGCCUUCCUAUUGCCAUCAGAGACAAACUGGAGAAAGGAACGAACUUCAUAAGCGAGCCCAAUAUUAAACGUAUAAAUAAUGCAUCCUUCAGCAUUAUUUAUAAUGCAGGAGCAUCACUGUUCUAUAUCAUAUGCAGUUUCACUUUGCCUCGUUUUAACUGCUUUCCUGCCAGGCAUAUCCUUCAGUAAGUUUGAAAGCAACAUCGGCUGCUUGUGUGAUGGCUUUUUAUUUGUAUUUUCUCUCCUCCUUUACUAGGUGUGUUGUGCUGAGGAACCGUUUCACAUACAAAGCGUAGAAAGGGUGUAAAUUCUAACAUCAGCAGGUAUAAUAGCAUUUAUAAGACGUUAUGAAUUGCAAUACCAUUUGGAUUUGAAAGUGAAAAAUAUUCUUUGUGCGAGGAAUGGCCAGCAUGGUUGGAGCAGCUUCAAGCUCACUUCUUGCUGUAAAUGCUGCGCUCAGAGAGUGGCUCUGUUUUGCAGUGAUGAUGGAAUAUACUGUAUCGCUGGUGGGUUGCCCUGUGCAAACCAGUUCACGCUUUGAGAGAAUGGUUUUGUGUCCUGCACAUACACACGCAAAGUCUGGAAUAACAAUACCAAGGUUUAUCUUUGGAGGAUCAAAUGAAAGCUGUAGUUGAAUGUUCCAUUUGUUUCUUAAUGAGCGUUGUCAGGCUGUGCCCUACGCUUAACAAAAGCAUAUGUGCAGAUAUUGUUCUGUUAUGAUUACAGUGUAAUUAUAUCAUGUCUGUAAUGGAUUACUGCAUCUGGCCUUUUCUUGGUUUAGGAAACUUAGAAUAAGAUUAGUAGAUAACUUCAAAAUGCAUCUAAUUCUUCUAAGCGGUGCUUUCUCUGUUGGCCAGUUUCCCCUCCACUUAAGUUUGGGAGAGGAGUUCUUU
rnacentral:lncRNA from 1 species